CUGCUGCUGGUUUCUGCUUUGCCUUUAAAUCAAGUCCAAGUUUCAGGCCACAGAAGCCACCAAAGAAGAGAAAUGUUGUCACCCUGUAUCUACUGUAUUGCAGAGAGCCUCUGCCCCUCCAUGCGGUACCCAAGAAAGCUCCUGCUUCCUGACCUGCUCGAGUUCCUGUCCUGACUUCCUUUGGUGAUGAACAGCAAUGUGGAAGUGUAAGCUGAAUAAACCCUUUCCUCCUCAA